rnacentral:rRNA from 1 species
AGCGUUGCUCGGAAUCACUGGGCGUAAAGCGCACGUAGGCGGACUCUUAAGUCGGUGGUGAAAUCCUGGAGCUCAACUCCAGAACUGCCUUCGAUACUGGGAGUCUCGAGUUCGGAAGAGGUGAGUGGAACUGCGAGUGUAG